CCUACGGGUGGCAGCAGUGAGGAAUAUUGGUCAAUGGGCGCGAGCCUGAACCAGCCAAGCCGCGUGAAGGAUGACUGCCCUACGCGUUGUAAACUUCUUUUAUCAAGGAAUAAAGUCAGGCGCGAGUGCCUUUUUGUAUGUACUUUAUGAAUAAGCAUCGGCUAACUCCGUGCCAGCAGCCGCCGUAAUACGGCGGAUCCGAGCGUUAUCCGGAAUUCUUGGGUUUAAAGGGAGCGUAGGUGGGGUGUUAAGUCAGUUGGGAAAGUUUGGGGGCCCAACCUAAGAGUGCAAUUGAUACUGGCAGUCUUGAGUAGAAGUGAGGUAGGCGGAAUACGUGGGGGAGCGGUGAAAUGCUUAGAUAUCGCGAAGAACUCCGAUUGCGAAGGCAGCUUAC
rnacentral:rRNA from 1 species